rnacentral:misc_RNA from 1 species
UCCUGGUUAACCCAGGCAGUCUCAUUAGAGUUCCCACCUUAAAUGUUGGCAACUAAUGAUAAGGGUUGCGCUCGUUGCGGGACUUAACCCAACACCUCACGGCACGAGCUGACGACAGCCAUGCAGCACCUGUGCAGAAGCCCCGAAGGGAAGCACUAUUUCUAAUGCCGUCCUCUGCAUGUCAAGCCUGGGUAAGGUUCUUCGCGUUGCAUCGAAUUAAACCACAUGCUCCACUGCUUGUGCGGGUCCCCGUCAAUUCUUUUGAGUUUCACCCUUGCGAGUGUACUCCCCAGGCGGUAUACUUAUCGCGUUAGCUUCGGCACAACUAGGGUUGAGUCCAGUUACACCAAGUAUACAUCGUUUACGGCAAGGACUAC